UAUGUGGAGGGUAAUUUGGAGAAAAAAAAUUAUUUGGUUAGCUACGAUAAGAAAAAAGUAAGAGGGUUAAAUUUCUAAAAUAAAAAAGCUUUGAGGUUAUUUUUAUAAAUUCCCUGUUUCUUUUUCAAUAUAUGUAUGAUCCACUUUAUGACCAAUUUCCGUUAUUCAAGAUUCCAAGUCCCUAGAAGGCUCACGUAAUUGGUUCAAGAAAAUUUGUAUAGUUCACAUUGAGUAUGAUCGACACAUGGAAGGCAUGCAAGGAUCACUGUUUCUCAACGGACCCAAACGAGGCAGCCCAUGAAUUUGAAAACCAGUUGCAUAUUUGAUGCAAGUCCUCACUCGCCCUAAAUCACAGUAACUCACGAGAUACCAGCUCCUUGAGAGAGUCUAUCACUCAGUUUUUAUAUCCCGAAUGGUCAACAAAGUCAACCUCUAGACCUCUAAGUUAGAUAGCCACGUCAGACGGUUCUUAACAGCUUUUCCUGCUUAAACGAGUAAGUUCUAAACUUAAACCUAUUCACUCAACAAGUCUUAGACUUAAGCAUAUACCUAGAAAUGACCUUUGUAACUUUACAAGUGUAAAAUUUAAACCCCCAGAAGCUCUUAUAACAUUGAAUCACAGUCCAACAACCAAUGCAACCCUUUUUGAUCCAUAUAAUCCCAAGAAUCAACCUCAUGCUUAGGUUUGCAUCAACAAUAGUGAUGGCCUUAGUAUAGAAAGUUGACAUAUUAGAAUCUUAUGACUGUAGUUAGAGGGCUAGGAAUAACGACUCCAGAUCGAUCACAAUACCUUUGAUAAGAACAAUAGGUACCAUGCAUGAUUUUCAGAUUAAUUAUCAACACUAGCAAGGAUACAAGUCAAGCAAGGGACGUUCAUGCUUUAAUGGGUAGUCCUUCAAAGUCAUAUCACAUUCUCUCCAUUCAUCCUUUUGUAUAUAUAGAGAGAAGUGUUCUAAUUUAGGCAGUUUACUUCAUUAUUUUUGACGUAGUAGAGUUGCAAUUAUGAUCAUUCCAAAAAUCACAUCUAUCAAAAAGUUACGAUGUAGUUUCUCUUCAAAUUUGCCUCAGUUUUUUAGAUCCCAAGUC
rnacentral:lncRNA from 1 species